UGUGUCCUCAUGGGCACUAUUGCCCCAGAGGGACUGGCUACCCUUUUACCUACCCCUGUAAGACUGGCCAAUAUAGGAACAACACACUUGGUCACAGUGGAGAGGCGUGUGUUUUAUGUCCAUCAAGGCAUUUCUGCGACAGACUGGGAAGUAGCCUCCCUUUAGUCUGUCCUCAGGGCUUUUACUGUCCAAAAGGCACUUCUACUCCCGAGCCUUGUCCUGAAGGAACCUACAGCUCACGUUCAGCUCUCAGUGAUGGGUCUGAGUGCUCCCCCUGUGGCGGAGGCCGGUAUUGCACCAGUGUGGGACUCUCAGAGCCCUCUGGAAGCUGCCAAGAGCGCUUCUACUGUAGAGAGGGAGCCAAGUCUGCAACUCCUGCGGAUGGUCCGACGGGAGGUUUGUGUCCAGCAGGAAGUUACUGUCCUCUAGCUUCGUCCUCUCCGCUGCCCUGUCCUCCCGGCACCUUUAGCAACAGCACCGG